AUUGAACGCUGGCGGCAGGCCUAACACAUGCAAGUCGAGCGGAUGAAUGGAGCUUUCUCCUGUAUUCAGCUACGGACGGGUGAGUAAUUCCUAGGAAUCUGCCUGGUAGUUGGGGAUAACGUCCGGAAACGGGCGCUAAUACCGCAUACGUCCUGAUGUAGAAAGUGGUGGAUCUUUGGACCUCACGCUAUCAGAUGAGCCUAAGUCGGAUUAGCUAGUUGGUUGGGUAACGGCCUACCAAGGCGACGAUCCGUAACUGGUCUGAGAGGAUGAUCAGUCACACUGGAACUGAGACACGGUCCAGACUCCUACGGGAGGCAGCAGUGGGGAAUAUUCGACAAUGGGCGAAAGCCUGAUCCAGCCAUGCCGCGUGUGUGAAGAAGGUCUUCGGAUUGUAAAGCACUUUAAGUUGGGAGGAAGGGCAGUAAGUUAAUACCUUGCUGUUUUGACGUUACCAACAGAAUAAGCACCGGCUAACUUCGUG
rnacentral:rRNA from 1 species